rnacentral:rRNA from 1 species
UACGUAGGGUGCAAGCGUUAUCCGGAAUCACUGGGCGUAAAGCGUGCGUAGGCGGGAGUUUAAGUGAGGUGUUAAAUCGUGUGGCUCAACCAUAUCGAUGCGCCUCAUACUGGACACCUAGAGGACGGCAGAGGCAAGUGGAAUUGGUAGUGUAGCAGUGAAAUGCGUAGAUAUUACCAGGAACACCAAUGGCGAAGGCAGCUUGCUGGGCCGACCCUGACGCUGAGGUACGAAAGCGUGGGGAGCGAACAGG